AGCAGAGCACGACCACAUCCGAUAGUCCCGUGAAAGGCCAGUUAACCUGAAGUGGUAGGCAGAUGACAACAGGGAUAAGAAUGUGGGUUUAGCUAGCAGGUCUUUCUCAUGUCUGAUAUAUCUUAACUUGGUGUGAUGUGGACCAGAACCUAACUCUUUGGGGAACUCAUAUUGUUUUGGACAUCAAAGAUGACAUCCAGAGAGACCUGCAGAAAUCCACAUAUAUGUCAUCAACAAGGAGGGUGGAGAAGUUGCAGCUCAUGGUGACAUUGACAUUUAUGUUGAAGGAGGAAUCAUUCUGGACAACAUUAGAUCUGUAGACCAAGUAUUGUGCAAUGAUGCUGGGAGUCAUCUAUGUACUGAACAUGGCUUACCCCAAAGAGCUGAAAUACUCCUAUGAAUUCAUUCAAAAAUUGCUCUUGCAAAUGGAUGGAGAAAGGCUUUCCCCCAAAGUCCUGGUGUGAACAUUUAAAGCUGCACGAUGGAUUUUGUGGAAUAUUCACCUGAAAUAAAAAUUGCAAUCCUGGAAAUAAGCCAGGUUUCCAUCCAGAUGCAUCACAAAAUUCCUCCAUCUAUCCACUACAUAUGAAUAUUAGAAGUGAAGCGCUUUGAGAUAAACAGUUGGUGACGUCAGCGCUAUUAAACCAUUGCAUAAGAAGAGGACACAAUGAGAUGAUGUCCAAUAAAGGGCAGUCAAAGUUCAAACGAUGGAGAACCUUGUGGAAAACAUGUUGGAAUUAUGAGAUUUCUUGUUUGUUUCAUGUAGGAAUGUUACAGCCUCCUCAUUGCUCCACACGGAUGGGAUGUUUUCAUUUGCCACUAUUUUUAUUAUUCUUAGAGGAGCUUAAGCUUCAGUGGACAUUUAAGUCACAUUUGAUAUACAGUAUAUCAUGAUUUAUUCAGUAAGUUUGUUUUCAUAUUGA